rnacentral:lncRNA from 1 species
GUAACCACUUCCUGCAGAAAUCCUCCAGCCCUGUUAGAAAUGCCUCAGCCAGGGGGACUCAUCUCCUCAAACCUGGGGGACCGAGACCUAUGAGAGGUCACAGCAUGAGAGCCAGGACAUCGGAGGUACCCAGACAUUGUUAUGAAACUCCGCAUGUGCCCCUGGUGGACGCUGCUGGACCCAGCAUGCACACUUCUCGGCUAAGAGUCACCCUGGAUGAACCACCAUUGCCAGCGGGGAGCAUGUUGCAGCUUUCCCACGCAGUGGAUGAGAACGAAGGUUACGACCAUUGUGUGGGAGGCGUCUGUGUAGCAAUUGCUGGAAUCACUUGUGGCAUUGUAGAAAGACUGAGCGUGGGAAAGAAGACGCAUUCUGAAGUCACCCCGAUUUAUGUUAAAUUAUCACCUUGACUACUGCUAUAGAACGAAUGUUUAUGUCCCCCACCCAAAUUCGUAUGCUAAGACCUAAUAGCCAAUAAGAUAGUAUUAAUAGAUGGGGCCUUUGGGAGGUGAGUGGCUCAUGAGGGCAGAGUCCUCAAAACCAGAUAAGUGCCCGAAUAAAAGGGGCCCCAGAGAGAUCCCUUGCACCGUCUACCAUGUGAAGUGUAGAACACAGCGAGAAGGCCACCUAUGAGCCAGAACGUGGGCCCUCACCAGAACCCAGUUGUGCUGGCACCCUGAUCCUGGACUUCCAGCCUCCAAAAUGACGACAAAGAAGUUUGUUUUUCCUGAGCCAUCCACUUCAAAGUAUUCUGUCAUAGCUCCCCAAAUAGACUAAGACAUCUACUUAACCUUGGUCAAACGUUUAACCUUGGAGUCCACGCCUCUGAAAUGGUGACAAUAACACUGUGUAUUUCCUACUUUAUGAUCAGGAUUAAUAAAUAAUGCAGAGGAUAAAGCAAGCAAACAAAAAAACUUCCAGAAGAAUCACAGAGUUUUAGACCUAGAAAAAAACUGAAAAAUCAUCCAUUCCACUCUCCUCAUUUUACAGAUGAGGGCAUCGAGCCUCAGAGAAAUGAAACUUGCCCAAGACCACACAGCAAGUGAGUGGGGGACUCAUGACCCAAGACACUUUUUCCAGGCUUCCUUCUACCACAUCAUGCUGCAGAAAACACAGCAGAUGGGAAGAGACGAGAGAGACGUAUUUUAAAGAAUUGGCUCGUGGGAUUGUGGGGCCUGGAAAUCUGAAAUCUGCAGAGAAAGCCAGCAGGCUGGAAAUUCAGGAAGUGGCGAGGAAAGAAGAAUGAAGACAAAGAAUAUGGAGUUUCCAUUGAUUUAGCCAAGUCCAUAACAGAAGAAAAGUGCCUUCCUUCGGAACUUCCAAUACAAUGUGUGAGAAUGGACCUGUUACAACUUGUAUUACUCGCAGGGUUCCCCCACUACCAAGAAUAGGGGUGGCCUUAGAAGGCACUCUGAAGCAAGAAUCAGCAAGUGACUGAAUCUAUGAGACUCGUAUUGAUCAGCCUCAAAAGAAAUGAGUCCUACCUUCUCGGUCUCUUAAGAAAUUCAUUCUCUUGAAAAGCAAUUCAAAAAGAGCUUUCCCUAAUACACAUUAGAUAAACAAUGAGAUAUCCUCCUAGCUUUCUCUUGGGAAACUUUCACUUUAUAUCUUUUCAAUUUAUUCUCAUCUUUUUUUUUGUUCCUUCCUUCCCUACUUUUAGGCUUUGUCGUUCAAAAGCUAGCUCGUAGAAUUUUUUUAAAUCUUUGUAUUCAUAUAUCCCUAACUAGAGCAUGAUCUUUUUCUGGCUGGUGGAUCCUCCCCAGAAUGUUUGCAUGUAUUAGGGCUCCAGUGAAUAGGUGUUGGUCAUGAGGAAGGAUGACCAGCUAAGGGAGCUAAUGGCUUAGACAGACACUGUAGAAUUGCAAGGAAUAGAGAUGUGCUCAAGAUACCUUGGUUGGCGAGGUUUAUUGUUGCAGAAACACACUGGGUGGUAGCCAGUCAACCAAGACGGCGGCCAUCAAUUCCUUACCUUUCUUUGUGUACAUGCUGCACCCCAUGACCAAAGGUAGGGCCUUUUUUCUCCUCCCUUGUAUUUCGACUGGCCUCAUACCUUGCUUUCAACAGUGAAAUGUAACAGUGGUGAAGUUGGACUUGUUCCAAGCCUAGACUUUAAGCCUUCUGUUUCCUACUUCUUAGAAGCCAGUCACCAUGCAAGAAGCCUGCCUACCCAGUAACCAGCUGUGAGAAGUCCAAGCUGGCUACACAAAGGGGGGGACACUGAGGUGCCAGACAGGUGGGUAAGGCCUGCCUGAACCUUCCAGCUCUGCCCAACACUCAGCUGAAUGCAGUGAAUCAGCCAGCCCAGCUGAGAACACAGUGAGCAGAGGUUCUGAUCCUGCCUGGAUUCCAGACCCACAGAAUCCAGAGAAAUCAUGUGACUUUAAGCCACUAACUUUUGCAAUAGAUUAAUGUACAACAAUAGAUAAAACACACAGAAAAGUCAAGAAAAUGUUUUUGAAGAAAAGUGAUCUCCGUAGGUUAACUGCAGUUGGUUAAUACUAAUUUAUUGUAUAUUUCAAAAUAGCUAGAAGAUAAUAAUUAGAAUGUUCCUAGCAUAAAGAAAAGACAAUUUAAGGUGAUGGAUAUGCCAAUUACACUGAUUUGAUCUUUACACAUUAUAUGAAUGUAUUCAAUUAUCACAUGUACCCUGAAAAUAUGUACAUCUAUUAUGUGUAAUAAAAAUAAAUCAAAACUUUUUAAAGAAUAAAAAGCGGUCGCACAUCUAAACAGGGC